UGGGCGCAAGCCUGAUCCAGCCAUGCCGCGUGAGUGAUGAAGGCCCUAGGGUUGUAAAGCUCUUUCACCGGUGAAGAUAAUGACGGUAACCGGAGAAGAAGCCCCGGCUAACUUCGUGCCAGCAGCCGCGGUANUACGAAGGGGGCUAGCGUUGUUCGGAUUUACUGGGCGUAAAGCGCACGUAGGCGGACUUUUAAGUCAGGGGUGAAAUCCCGGGGCUCAACCCCGGAACUGCCUUUGAUACUGGAAGUCUUGAGUAUGGAAGAGGUGAGUGGAAUUCCGAGUGUAGAGGUGAAAUUCGUAAAUAUUCGGAGGAACACCAUUGGCGAAGGCGGCUCACUGGUCCAUUACUGACGCUGAGGUGCGAAAGCGUGGGGAGCAAACAGGAUUANAUACCCUGGUAUCCACGCCGUAAACGAUGAAAUGUUANCCGUUGGGGAANUUUACUCUUUCGGUGGC
rnacentral:rRNA from 2 species